rnacentral:tRNA from 1 species
GGCUAUUUAGCAUAAUUAAAUGUAUUUGAUUUGAAAUCUUAAGAUAUAAUAUGGUUUAUUAUAUUGGCUU